GUAGAAGGUAGAAAUACAAGCUCUCUUUUGGGGUGUAAAUUUUGUGCAUGAUUUGGCUUUCAUUGAGACGUCUCUGGGUAAGGAGUUACUAAGGAAGAGAAACUUACAUGCAGGUUGAAGCAUGCAGUGUCAAAUGUAUAAGGAAUAUAAAAGAUGCUGUAUAUUAGUAUAAGUUUGAAUAACCAUAAUAAAAAAAUUUCUUGAAAA